rnacentral:rRNA from 1 species
CAAUAGCGUAUAUUAAAGUUGUUGCAGUUAAAAAGCUCGUAGUUGGAUUUGUGGUGUACUUCGGCGGCCCGUCACUAUGUGAUGGAGCUUGCUGAAGUCGCCAUCCUUGGGUGGAUCCUGUGUGGCAUUAAGUUGUCGUGCAGGGGAUGCCUAUCGUUUACUGUGAAAAAAUUAGAGUGUUCAAAGCAGGCUUAUGCCGUUGAAUAUAUUAGCAUGGAAUAAUAAGAUAGGACCUUGGUACUAUUUUGUUGGUUUGCGCACCAAGGUAAUGAUUAAUAGGGACAGUUGGGGGUAUUCGUAUUUCAUUGUCAGAGGUGAAAUUCUUGGAUUUUUGAAAGACGAACUACUGCGAAAGCAUUUACCAAGGAUGUUUUCAUUA